GCUGGCGGCGUGGAUAAGACAUGCGAGUCGAACGAGAGAAUUGCUAGCUUGCUAAUAAUUCUCUAGUGGCGCACGGGUGAGUAACACGUGAGUAACCUGCCCCCGAGAGCGGGAUAGCCCUGGGAAACUGGGAUUAAUACCGCAUAGUAUCGAAAGAUUAAAGCAGCAAUGCGCUUGGGGAUGGGCUCGCGGCCUAUUAGUUAGUUGGUGAGGUAACGGCUCACCAAGGCGAUGACGGGUAGCCGGUCUGAGAGGAUGUCCGGCCACACUGGAACUGAGACACGGUCCAGACACCUACGGGUGGCAGCAGUCGAGAAUCAUUCACAAUGGGGGAAACCCUGAUGGUGCGACGCCGCGUGGGGGAAUGAAGGUCUUCGGAUUGUAAACCCCUGUCAUGUGGGAGCAAAUUAAAAAGAUAGUACCACAAGAGGAAGAGACGGCUAACUCUGUGCCAGCAGCCGCGGUAAUACAGAGGUCUCAAGCGUUGUUCGGAAUCACUGGGCGUAAAGCGUGCGUAGGCUGUUUCGUAAGUCGUGUGUGAAAGGCGCGGGCUCAACCCGCGGACGGCACAUGAUACUGCGAGACUAGAGUAAUGGAGGGGGAACCGGAAUUCUCGGUGUAGCAGUGAAAUGCGUAGAUAUCGAGAGGAACACUCGUGGCGAAGGCGGGUUCCUGGACAUUAACUGACGCUGAGGCACGAAGGCCAGGGGAGCGAAAGGGAUUAGAUACCCCUGUAGUCCUGGCAGUAAACGGUGCACGCUUGGUGUGCGGGGAAUCGACCCCCUGCGUGCCGGAGCUAACGCGUUAAGCGUGCCGCCUGGGGAGUACGGUCGCAAGAUUAAAACUCAAAGAAAUUGACGGGGACCCGCACAAGCGGUGGAGUAUGUGGCUUAAUUCGAUGCAACGCGAAGAACCUUACCUGGGCUUGACAUGUAAUGAACAACAUGUGAAAGCAUGCGACUCUUCGGAGGCGUUACACAGGUGCUGCAUGGCCGUCGUCAGCUCGUGUCGUGAGAUGUUUGGUUAAGUCCAGCAACGAGCGCAACCCCUGUUGCCAGUUACCAGCACGUGAAGGUGGGGACUCUGGCGAGACUGCCCAGAUCAACUGGGAGGAAGGUGGGGACGACGUCAGGUCAGUAUGGCCCUUAUGCCCAGGGCUGCACACGUACUACAAUGCCCAGUACAGAGGGGGCCGAAGCCGCGAGGCGGAGGAAAUCCUGAAAACUGGGCCCAGUUCGGACUGUAGGCUGCAACCCGCCUACACGAAGCCGGAAUCGCUAGUAAUGGCGCAUCAGCUACGGCGCCGUGAAUACGUUCCCGGGUCUUGUACACACCGCCCGUCACAUCAUGGAAGCCGGUCGCACCCGAAGUAUCUGAAGCCAACCGCAAGGAGGCAGGGUCCUAAGGUGAGACUGGUAACUGGGAUG
rnacentral:rRNA from 1 species